CUCUUUCUAGUUUAUUUAGAACCUUUGUUUUGCACACAAAAAGUAGAGGAUCCCCUGGAAGAGU
rnacentral:tRNA from 1 species